GCUGGGAUAGCUCAGGGGUAGAGCGCCGGUCUGUGGAACCGGAGGUCGAUGGUUCGAAACCAUCUCCCAGUGCCA
rnacentral:tRNA from 1 species